UUCUUUUAAUAACGAUGAACAAUCAUUAAAAAAAAACACAUAGUUAAUAUCUUAAAUUUAUUUAUAAAUAAAUGAAAGCAUAUUUCUUUUGUUUGUACAGAAACAUGGUAGAAUAUGGUAAGGUUUUAUUUUGGAGCUCAGUAAGACAGUGGAGCAAACCACGGACGAAAUGAAACAAAUAGCAUAUUUCUUAUUUAUAUCUAUGUUAAUGAACUUGAUGCAGUGAGCAAGGUUGCAGGUUGCACGUAUAAUGGCAGCAUUUACAGAUACUACAAAUCAGAAAUGUUAACUUGUUCCCCCAAAAAGAUGGAGAAAAGAAAAAAAUGCACACUUUACUAAUGGUAAUAUCAACCUUUAAUGGCUACUGAGCAGCUGCAAAAUGGAAAAGUUCUACCUACUUGUCAUGUUGGAGUACAUCGUAGCCAUGUCUCAUUCACUCCAAGAGUGACUGUAAAUGCAGUCUGUAUAUGCUCGUAUAACAAGAGUCUGAAAUAUGAAUUCUUGAGGUGGGGCUUUGUCUUGUUGCCAGAACAGCACAUGUGAACAUGUAUGAGAACAAAACAGAAACAUGCAACACCCAUCGCAGGGCACAAUCACACACACCCAUUCACGCACUACGGACAACUUAGAGAUGCCAAUCAGCCUACAACACACUUUGGACUGGGGGAGGGAACUGGAGUACCCGGAGGAAACCCCCAAAGCACAGGUAGAACAUGCAAUCUCUGCGCACACAGGGCAGUGGCAGGAAGCAAAUCCCCCAACCUUGGCGGUGCAAAGCGAACAUGUUAACUACUAAGCCUCCGUGCCCCCCAGGACUGAUAAUAUUACACAAUAUUUCAGUCUUGGAAUGAUGUAUAAAUAUAUACCAGAGUACUGGCAUUGUGGCAUGGAUAUACCACUGGCAUGGAUAUACUACCUUAAGUGAAUUUUCAAAGUGUGAUGUUUGAAAUCAAAAUAAGAGCACUGAACUGAACUGAUAGCCAAGUCUCUCCAAAGUGCCCGCCUGCCAAAUAAUUAAUUGGAGGCUCAAAUAAUACAAUUUUUGUAUAACUCUAAAAUAUUAACUUGUGGUCUCAAUUUAUUAUCUUGUGGCCUCAAAAUAUUAACUCAUGACCUCAAUAUAUUAAGCCUGCCUAUAUUACCAAUAUUAUAAUGCGUCAAUAUAUUAAUUCAUUGCUGCAGUAUAUUAACUUGUGACUUCAAUAUAUUAUCUCUUGGCCUUAAUAUAUUAACUUGCAACCUCAAUAUUUUAUCUCGUGGCCCCUAUACAUUAUCUUGUGACCUCAAUAUAUUAAAUUGUGGCUUCCAUAUCCCAGCUAACAAAAAAUAUGCUGUGGGAAUGUCCCCCGAGCCAACAAUGCAAACAGGACAUUCUUUUGUAGGGUCACCAAAAUGUCACAUGGGACAUUAUGGGACAUUCACGAUACGGCGGACCUCUGGGAGACUAUUUGGGGAUGUUUGCUACGUGCAACAGACCUCCAAGGGACUAUUCAGGGACAUUCACGGAACAUGCCUUAAAUGUUGCCUUUAUUUGACCAUAUUCCUAAUUAGGUUUUGGUAGAUUAGUUUAAUUGUUAUUAAUCUAAUAACACUAUAUUAUUUGAGACAAAAGAAUGAACACUCCUGCUGUUUUGUGUGUGUGCUUUUGGCUCACUGAGGCACCCUCAGGGUGCCCUUGGGGAGCUGACUUACCGUUCUGAAAGACAUACUGACAAUGGAGGUAGAGUAGGUCUAAAGGAAAACAGACAGAAACAAUGUAAAUAUUGUUUUUACAAAAAUAUUUUAAUUAUAUUGUAGUAAGUAUUCAAUUCAAUUCAUUUUUAUUUGUAUAGUGCUUUUUUUACAAAGGUCAUUGUCUCAAAGCAGCUUUACACAAACAAAAGUAAAGUGAAGUGUGUGUGUGUGCCGUCUCUGAUGAGCAAGCAGGGCAACGGUGGCAAGGAAAAACUCCCUGAGAUGGUGAUAGGAAGAAACCUUGAGAGGAACCAGGCUCAACAGAGAACCCAUCCUCAUAUGUUUACACUGUAGUGUGCGUGUGUGUGAGUACAAUGUGUGUUGGUGUAGUCCAUGGAAAACAGCUGAAGCGUUUUCGUGGCAGUAUGAAGCAUUGCCGGUGGACAGGUCCAGAGUGAAGGGGGGGGAGGUCUGGAUUACCAGCAGCUCAGGAGUGAUGCUCAUCUGGUCCAGAGUGUAGGGGGGUCUGGAUCACCGGCAGCUCAGGAGUGUAGCUCGGCAGAAAGAGAAGGAAAGUGGUUAGGUACACUCACAGUCACCGUGUGGAGAUAAAACUCAACAUCCACGAGUCCCCCAGAUCUACUCCUUUGAUAAAAACACUAGUCGCUAAAUGCUAGGUUAAAUAAAUAAGUCUUCAACCUCGACUUAAACACUGAGACCGUGUCUGCUUCACGUACAUUAACUGGGAGGCUAUUCCAUAAUUUUGGGGCUUGGUAAGAGAAAGCUCUGCCCCCUGCCGUGGUUUUGGCAAUGCGUGGUACUGAUAGACAGCCUGCAUCCUUAGAGCGAAGUAGGCGCGUCGGAACGUAAGGUACUAACAUAUCGCUUAAAUACUGCGGAGCGAGACCGUUUAAUGCUUUAUAGGUUAGGAGUAAUAUUUUAAAAUCGAUGCGGAAUCUUACUGGGAGCCAGUGUAAUGUAGAUAAGACUGGCGUGAUAUGCUCAUACUUCCUAGUCCUAGUAAGGACCCUCGCUGCUGCGUUCUGAACUAUCUGAAGCUUAUUUAUGCAUCUAGACGAACAUCCAGAUAGUAAAGCAUUACAGUAAUCUAAUCUGGACGUGAUAAAUGCAUGGACUAGUUUUUCAGCAUCACUUAGCGAAAGUAUAUUUCUAAUUGUGGGGAUCUGUGUUUUCUUGUUGGUGGUUACCUGCACUGAUAAUCAGUGUGGGGAUCAUGUGAUCUGCAUUGUGUGGCUGCUUGUCUUGGGUCACAUGAGGCAUGUCACAUGACACAUUAGGAGAUUAUAAAGUUUGGCUUGUGGAGUUCACACUCUCUUGCUGCUGCCAUUUGCCACUGCAACUAGACUCCCGUCAUACAGGGUGACUGCUAGAACAAUGUGUUCCACUCUUUAUGAAGGACACAGGUGACUGCGUGGCAUUUGAAGGACUUGUGACCUCCUAUUGAGUUGCUGGGCUGCAGACACUCUGGUAGUUUCUUAUGUGAUUUUAUUUUUUCAUUUUAAAUUGUUUUAUAUUGGUAUUUAAAAUGUGUUGAUUAUGUACUUGUAUUUGUACCACUGGAGUGCCCCAUUUUAUCUUCCUGGGUUAUUGUGCUGCGGGGAGUAUUGAACACUCUUGCAAAGUAGGCCAAUACUUCUUGUAUAUGUUGGUUUUAUGUGUGCUGGUGAAUGAAAUUGGGGAUUAAUGUGGUAUUAUUUCUUUUUAAAGGGACCAGGCCAGCCACUGUUUUAUUGUCAGUGUACAAGUCUUUUUUUUAGUUUGUUUGUUGGUUGUUUUGUUUGCCUUUGGCUUUGUCCCUUUUUUUUUGUCCUUGGUCUAGUGUAACCCUGCCUUGACCAAGCCAGCGCGGUGGUCAUUGUGUUGGGAGCUGGCUGUUCUCCUCUUUUUGUCUCUGUAUAGGUUCUCUGUACAAGGCCGGAUCUGCACCUCACUACUGCUCCAUUCAGUUGGGGGCUGCACUGAGGGGACACUAUUUUGGUGUGUACUGGUAACAUGCAACACGGUGUGGUAUUUUGUAGUGGUAAUUACUGACCUUGUGUGUGCAGUGGUUGCUAUGUUGCAUGCUUGUAUGGUGUUGGGUUUGUUGUGUCUGUCUCUCUCACCAGGGCCUCCUAGGAGAGGAGCUGUGGGUGCCGUGCCGACCCGACCUUAUUAGUUUGAGAAGCUCCAGCCAGUUUCCCUUCGUCUCUUUUUCACAUUAGCAAUUGUACCUAUUCAAAAUUGUAAUAAAUUUGAGCUUGUGUA